CCCCAAGCCGCUUGGGCACUUCCUUCCAAUCCUCUUCGCUGGCCAGGACUACCGCCACCGCGGUCCCUCCCUACCUACUCCCUUGGGAGGAACCGCGCCCCCCCGCAGCCAGCGCCUCCUCAAUACCAGACUGAAGCCCCACAUUGAAGAUAUCCAACCCUAUGAGUGAGAGGUGUACCCCAUCCUUACGCAUGAGGUUGGAAUUGUCCCCUUCAAGUUCUCUGUGCCUAACGACAAACCCGCCGAGGCGGCGGACAAACUU